rnacentral:rRNA from 1 species
UACAGAGGGUGCGAGCGUUAAUCGGAUUUACUGGGCGUAAAGCGUGCGUAGGCGGUUCGUUAAGUCGGUUGUGAAAGCCCUGGGCUUAACCUGGGAAUUGCAGUCGAUACUGAUGGACUCGAGAACGGUAGAGGGAGGCGGAACUCCAGGUGUAGCGGUGAAAUGCGUAGAUAUCUGGAAGAACACCGAUGGCGAAGGCAACCUCCUGGGCCUGUUCUGACGCUGAGGCACGAAAGCGUGGGUAGCAAACAGG